GGCAUUCGCUGCCGCGACUCGCCCUUUUCCCGGCCGGGACUGCAGCCCCUUUCAGAAGCUCCUCCAUCAGCAGCUGCCGGGACCCGACUCUCGUCUUCCUCCUCGCCCGCUCUCCAGCCUUUCCUCUCUCCUAAGUGUCCAUCGGGCACCGACCUCGCCCUGCCCCACCGGACACCGCGGCAGCAGCCCCAGCAGUGACGGGACAAAAUGGGAGAGUGAGACUGUCCCGCGGGGACCACCUCUUAGCCGAGAAGGAUCGGGACGUCUGGCCGGUCCAGAAGAGCCGGGGAUGCGGAGCUAGAGCGUCUGCAGAGCCUCAGAGCGGAGCGGGCCGGGCCGGUGGCCCAAGCGGCGGCAGCAGCUGGCAUAGCUCCUCACCCGCCCUUCGCUUUUCCCUUUCCUCUUCUCCCUCCCUUGCUUGCCCAGAGGGAGUCUCCACCCUGCUUCUCUUUCUCUCCCUCCUCCUGCCCAUCUCGGGACGGGGAACCCUCCAUUGCGAAGGCGGCCGGGGCCCGCUAGGCUGAAGCACCUCGCCGGAGCGACUAGGCUGGUGGCGACGGCUCUGUCGGCUGUCGUGAGGAGCUGCCGGGUGGGAUGCGACUUUGGGAGUCCGAGCGGCUGUGGGUCGCUGUUGGCCCGGGGUCUGGAGAGCGGAGAUCCCCUCAGUGAGGGGGAGGAGGGGGAACCGGGCGCACCUGGUGACCCUAAGGUUCCGGCUCCUCCGCCCGGCGGCUGCGAACCCACCGCAGAGGAAGUUGGUUGAAAUUGCUUUCCGCUGCAGGUACAAGGGUAUUGUCAUAGUAGCAGCAACAUGUCGACUGGGGACAGUUUUGAGACUCGGUUUGAAAAAAUCGACAACCUGCUGCGGGAUCCCAAGUCGGAAGUGAAUUCGGAUUGUUUGCUGGAUGGACUGGAUGCCUUGGUAUAUGAUUUGGAUUUUCCGGCCUUAAGAAAAAACAAAAAUAUUGACAACUUUUUAAGCAGAUGAUUAGAUGAGUCUAUCAGUUUUGGGGAAGAAUACUGCAGAGGUGAAGUGCCUUUCUCAUUGCAUCAUAUCUGGGAUACAUGACUUACACUGGUGAUAUUAACCUUUGUCACUUGGUUUAAGCUUUGGCCAUUGGGAACAAUGGAGCAUUUCUCUACUUUCUGGCACUACAAGAUGCUCCACGCUCAUCUUGUAUGUUCCCUGCCCAGCGCUAGAAUCAGCCAUUUCUCCAAGGAGUUCAGCUUCCUUUUGUUGGGGAAGGAUAUUUAGAAACCAAGAUCUGGGCACUGGAUGUGCUCUUCACUACUGAAGUAUCACAGCUUCUAGGCCUCUCAGCCAAAAGAACUAGGAAAUAUAUGUAUGUACACUAACCUGUGUUUAAAUACAAAUCUGUAAUUAUUGCUGUAUCUACAUAUAUUAAAAAUAAACAUGAGUUCAUAUUGAUAUCAUCUGUUCUAAUCUAGCACCACAGGGUUCAUUCUAGCCUUCCGCCUUGCUUAUUUGUGAUUUCUUUCUCUGACAAUCAGGAAACCUUAUCCCAUUAUCUACAGUUUAUUAUUCAACACCACUAUACAUAUGAAUUAACCCAUAUCCUUGUGUGAAACAAACUAAUCAACUAGAGUACAGUGUCUUUAUACAUUUCUUUUUUGUCUUCAGCCUUAUGAUAUCCAGCCAGAAUACUCUUUUCUAUACUUAGGUCAGUUCCUUUUUUUCUCACCAUCUUCAGUGAGAUUAUGUUAUGUUUGUAAUGCAAUUAGAUUACUUUGUCAUAGUCUGAAUUCCAUCCUUGGAUCCCCUAACAUCCUGAUUUUUUCAUUUGCAUACAUUAUAUAUAGGUCUAUGGAUUUUGACAAAGGCAUAGUCUUAUAUCCACCCCAAUAUUAUAUAGAAUAGUUCCAUCACCCUCAAUUUUUUUUCUCUGUGUCUUCUUUGUACUCACAACCACUCUUCCCUACCCAUGCUCCUGGCAAACACUGAUCUGUUUUCUGUCUCUGUAGGAUUACCUUGUCCAGAAUAUCAUAAAAUGGAAUCAUACAAUAUGUAGGCUUUUGAGUUUGGUUUAUUUCACUUAACAAAGUGUAUUUAAGAUUCAUCCAUGUUGUUGUGUGAAUCAAUAGUCUGUUCCUUUUUUAUUUCUAGGUAGUGUUCUAUUGAAUGGAUGUACUAGAUGUACCUCCAUGUAUUCAUAUGUUAAAGGACAUCUUAGUUAUUUCGAGUUUUUGGUGACUAUGAAUGAUGUUGCUGUAAACAUUUUUGCACAAGUUUUUUUUUUUAAUAAAAAUAAAUUUUCAGUUCACUUGGGUAAAUGCCUAAAAGUGGGAUUGCUGUGUUGUUAGAUAAGUGUAUGUUUAACGUUUUAAGAAAUUACCAAACAGUCUUGGAGAGUGGCUGUACCACUUUGUAUUCCCACUAGCAGUGAGAGUUCCUGGUGUUCCACGUUCUCACCAGCAUUUGGUGUUGUGUUUUGUAUUUUAGCCACUCUAAUAGGUGUGUAGUGGUAUCUCACUGUGGUUUUAAUUUGCAUUUCUGGAUGACAAGUGAUUUUGAGCAUCUUUUAUGCUUACGCUUAUUUACCAGGUGCGUAUCUUCUUUAUUAAAGUGUCUAUUCAUAUCCCUUGCCCAUUUUUUAAAUUGGUUUGCUUGUUUGUUUAUUGUUGAGUUUUAAAAGUUCUUUAUAUUUGACUACAAAUCCUUUAUCACAUAUUUGAGUUGCAAAUAUUUCUCCCCAUCUGUGGCUUGUCUUUUCAUUCUCUGAUAGUGUUUUUCACAGAGCACAAGUUUUUAAUUUUAAUAAAAUCUUAUUUAUCAACUAUUUGUUAUGGGUUGUACUUCUAGUAUCAUUUCUAAAAAUCAGCCAAACCCAAGAUUGAUUUUUUAAACAGAUUUAUUGAAGUAUAAUUUAUAUAUUAAAGAAGUUACUCAUUUAAAGUGUACAAUUAGUAUAUUUACAGAGUUGUGCAACCAUCACCGCAGUCACUUUUGGAACAUUUUCAUCAACUUACAAAAAAACUCCAUACCCAUUACCAGUUACUCCAGUUUCGACUAAUCCCUUUUUGUCUGUAUAAAUCUGCCUAUUGUAGACAUUUUACAUAAAUGGAAUCAUACAAUUGUGGUCUUUGUGACUGGCUUCUUUCACUUAACAUGUUUUCAGUGUUCAUCUAUAUUGUAGCAUGUAGCAUGUUCAUCUAUAUUGUAGCAGUGGGAAAAAAUAGAACAACAUAAAGAAGAUUGGAAGUUCUGAGAGCAUUGCCGAUUUAGACCGAGUGGAUAGGGAAGGGCUCGUUGAAAGGUGAUAUUGAGAGAAAUUUUGGGAGUAGCAAGAGCAGAUCUAAGUUCCCGAGCCUCGCAGAUGAGUACCAAGAAAAGCAACUAGCAAUCUAUAAUCUCAACUCAGUAAGAACUCUGAAAAGUAGGUGGAAGAUUGUAGAAACUAACUGCACACUGAAACAAGAAAAAAGUGAACUUUAGUGGGAGAACCUUUUCUGCUGUCCUUACCCCUACCCCUCCUGGUUUGGCAGCCAAGUGGCUGCAUUGGAGGGCAGACCAUGGCUCGUGCUCUCAAUGACAGGGUACCAGUCUCUGGCUCUGGAGUGAACACAACAGACUCUGCUGGCAGACUCCUCAGUGUGUUUGUUCUGAUCUAUUUGGGAGCUAUCUGAAGGACUAAAGCCUUGUUCUGGUCUGAAUCAGACUUCACACAGGGUGGAAGAGGGAGUGGUGAGCAACGAGAGAAGACUGUGGCUGCCUGAGAGUUUCUUGCAGAAAUUAGUGCUUUCAAAAGUAUGUCGUAUACAGGGGAAUUGAGAAAGCCACACACAUGUACUCGCUGCUAACACAUUGCGGUGUUCUUCAACCAGAAUAUCUCAAGAUGUACAAAGAAGCUUGAAGUGAUGGCCCAUUCAAAAGAAAAGACAAAGGGAGAGAAGUCUCUAUGGAAGCCUUGAUAAUGGACAGAUUAGAUGACUAUAAUACAACAAUAUUAAACAUGCUCAAAUAAUUAAUG